GCCAGACUGGAGAGAGUGAUCUGAUUCUCCUGGAGCGCGUGUCAAAGAGGAGGAGGCGGCGGCGCGAGAGACACGGGGAAUGAACACGGAAGGCAAAGUGAUCGGGAGAGAGAGAGAGAGGGAGAGAGAGAGAGAGAGAGAGAGAGGGAGAGAGAGAGAACACGAUAAAAGGAGAAAGGAGAAGCAACCUCCAGGUGACAGCGUAAGGAGGUCUCCAGAAAACCCAGGACCUUGCACCCUCACCAGUGUCUGGUGUGCUGCACCUCCUCUUCAGGAUCACCAGGGGCUGCUGUUCAUUCGACAGAAAUGAAUCCUAGUGCCGUCAUGAUGUCUCUCUCAAUGUGGGAAGAACUGACAAGUCCUGAGGCUAAGCACAGCUGUCUCUGAGUCUGAGUGGACUGUGAGGAAUGGUUUUGUCCAUCAGCACAAACCCGGGCCAGAGCAGAGAGAACAUGGCCGGAGGAGGGAGGAAGGGCAUUCUGGUCCGGAAACACGGAGGCCACACUGCAAACCGUCUGACUAUCUCACCAAGCCCCUGGCUCAGAACGGAUUCCAAAAGAGCAGCGCCGGCCUGGUUUGACCUGUGGUGGGGAGGGACAGCUGGUGUUGUGAAUCAGGCCGCUACAGUGCCAGACACGGCUUCUUCCCAACACCAGGGUCACACCCCACUGUCUGCAGCACCGGAGGAACACAGCACCCGGCCCCCAUGCCCUCGGCGCCGGCCAAGCCAGGUUAACGACGGGCGAAAUGAAGAUGGAUGCAGAAUUCGAGAAACUCAACCCAGACAAAUGGCUUUUGAAGUCAGAUUAGUUUAAGUUAAUUAACUUAUUACCUGUAUGUAUGUAGGGAUGCGUGUAUGUAUGCAGGGAUGCGUGUAUGUAUGCAGGGCCAGCUCCAGGCAUAAGUGACAUAAGCAGUCACUAAGGGCCCCGACUGCCAGGAGGCCCCAAAUGAAAUGUUGCUUAGGGCCCCCAAAACGCAAGAGCCUGCAUUAUAUGUAUGUACGUACGUGUGUGUGUGUGUGUAUAUAGGUAUAUAUAUAUAUAUAUAUAUAUAUAUAUAUAUAUAUAAACAUUUUAUAUGAUUGUAUAUCUGGGAUAUUUCAGAAACAUUUGAGUAUGGUUCAGAAAUAAAACCCAUCUUUUACCAUGGCACUGCUGAAUAGUGUAUUCUGAUUAAACUAGGUUUAUUGUACUGACUUGCCCUUUGGCUGCUUCUGCAUGUCUGCACUAUUAUUCCACAUCAAUAAGCUAUCAGAGCAUAACACACCCAAACUAUAAGACAGGAAUGGGAGAAACAUUAAAUACAUUAUAAAUUAUAAUGAAAUGUGUUACUGUUGUUAUAAAAGCAAGGCAAAUGAAAGCUCAUUGUCUGUGAGGAAAAUGAAACAGUAUUUAGAAUGGUAUUUUCAGUCUUACUAUCAGUAAGCUUUGGUAGCAUCUUUUUGUGUGCUGCUUUUAUUUUGUAAUUAACACUUCAAAGGAUUUUUAUAUUGUUAUGGAAUUAAUUUGAGGUCUAUAUUGUGGGGUGCUAGGAUGUGACAAAAACAUUUUUCUAAAUGUUUUCAAUAAUAAAGAUACAGCAAAAACAACUAAAGCUGUGGGUUUUUUUUUUUGUUUUAAUUUUAUUCUACAAUGGUAUUUAUUUUCAGACUGAAUGGUCAAUGGCUUGAUUAAACUGAUUGUGUCUAUACACUAUUUUGUUAAAUUUGUUUAGAAGUCUAGGCUAUUAAAAA
ensembl:lncRNA